rnacentral:lncRNA from 10 species
CUCUCCCUAGAGAAGCAUGAUGGCCAGAAAACAAGUAGUAAAAGAAAAAAAUUAACAAUAUUUCACAAAACUCUGAAAAAUUAGUUUGUAAUAUGUCAGGAAGGAAAAAAAACAGAAUUAUCUCUCUCACUAGAAAAGAAUUCUAGUUUUGAGAACAUCGCUGAGUAUUCCCAGUUUACAUUCAAAUUCUCUUAUGAAAUGGGGGCUCUUGUUAUACAAUAGAACAUUACCAUUUGUCAUUACCAUAAAAAUGUUCUCUGGUAUUCCACUUUCAAGUUUGUUUUUGCUUAAUUUUGCCCUAUUUCACAUAGCUGUAAAAAUCUUUUACUAUGUCUUUUCUUAUCUGUUUUCCCAUUUAUAACUUAUCGAACAUUUUUAGCAUUUCAGCAUUUUUAUAUCAUACUUAUUUUUAGAAUUUAUGCUCCACCUUUUUUUGCUGGUUGAAAAUUAUCCAGUUAGUUAUAUUUUUCCCAUAUGGAGAGACAGAAAGCAACUAGCAAAGCCAAGUGGAAUCUUUCCAUGUUGUAGUGAAAGGGGCAAUCACUAUUUCUGUGCUCUAACAGAUUGCUGACACUUUUUGUGUAUCAAAGUGAGGUUUUCGGUAACUCUGCCACCUUUAACUGUCCUUUAUUUUGCUGUUUUCAUGAGAUCUUAUUUCAUGUUGAUCUUGGGGGAGAAUACCUCCUGGUUCUUCUGUAAUUGUGGUUCUCCAUCUCUUAUCUAUCUUAUUGUUGAAUUUGUGACUUAUUUUCCAUAUAUCUAGGGCAUAUUCUUGAAAUGUUUCAAAAUGUUAUUAUUAUAAAAUAUCAAGUUACUAAAUUACUCUAGGAAGUAAUUUCAAAUAUUAUAAUAAAGCUCAUAUUAAUUAAUACCCAAAACAUAAAAAUCUAAGUGAACAUUAUCUUCUUCAACAUAACUGCCUUAAGAAUUUCUACUUUAGUCCAUUGAUCUUGCCAUCAAUUAAAAACACUUUCAGGGAUUCCUCUUAAAGGUUUGCAUUUAGAACCUGCUGCUUUGUUUCAAAUGAACCCAGUGGCAGCAAAUCCUAAUUUUUUAAGUGUAGACUUUAAUUUUUGGAUAGAGAUAAUUGUCAUCAGUAGUCUGGUGAAUUGAUUAAUGAUCCAACUAGAGGACUAUUUGGAAGAAAAAGUAUCUGAUUAUAGGGAAUCAGAGUAGUAGUCCUGCCUGACUAAACUGGCUCUGAAGACGACUUCAGAAAGAACAUCCAGAAAGUUUUGAGCCUUCUCAGGGGCCAUUGGCUGCCCACAUGCCUCUGGCUCCUUCACAAAUCCCUGGUUCAGCUGGUGGUUGUGAUGCGUCACAUAGUUCCUGGCAUGCCAUUGUCCUGAAUUCACCUACUAAUUUUACCCUCAGAGAAAGAGAGAGUCUUUGGAGAGUUGUGAGGAGAUAAGUGACAUAAACUGGCAUGUUCUGAAAGAAUCACUCUGGAUGCUGUGUGGAGAAAACACUGAAAAGCACCUGUUGUUUCCUGACUUUUUAAUGAUCGCCAUUCUAACUGGUGUGAGAUGAUAUCUCAUUGUGGUUUUGAUUUGCAUUUCUCUGAUGGCCAGUGAUGAUGAGCAUUUUUUCAUGUGUCUGUUGGCUGCAUAAAUGAAUAGACUAAGAUUUCAGUGAUUGAGUCUCAUGGCAUGUGAUAAAGAGUUAGUGAUAAAGAUUUAAAUGGCACAUAACAUCAUCCCAAUUGAAUGCAUCGGGGGGUCAUGAUGCUGUGUGGUUAGUAAGAUAUACUCAGUGUGCCUAUAACCCAGAUUGGCUUCUGUGCUGGCCUUGUUGUUUGACAUUAACCUCAGUAAUGUCCACAGUGCUUCCACCCCUCUCUCAUCCUCAAAGAUCUUCUCACCACUAAUAUAGCAGCAAAGAGGGAUAGUCUCUGCAACUUCAGGCUUUCUUGCUGUCCCCAAAGACAAACAC